rnacentral:rRNA from 1 species
UACAGAGGGUGCGAGCGUUAAUCGGAAUUACUGGGCGUAAAGCGCGCGUAGGCGGCUUUGCAAGUCGGGUGUGAAAUCCCCAGGCUUAACCUGGGAACUGCAUUCGAGACUGCAUUGCUAGAGUAUGGGAGAGGGAAGUGGAAUUUCCGGUGUAGCGGUGAAAUGCGUAGAUAUCGGAAGGAACAUCAGUGGCGAAGGCGGCUACCUGGACAGGUACUGACGCUGAAGCGCGAAAGCUAGGGGAGCAAACAGG